rnacentral:rRNA from 1 species
CCUACGGGAGGCAGCAGUGGGGAAUCUUGCGCCAUGGGCGGAAGCCUGACGCAGCGACGCCGCGUUCGGGACGAAGGCCUUCGGGUCGUAAACCGCUUUCAGCAGGGACGCGACCCUCACGGUGACGGUACCUGCCGAAGAAGCCCCGGCUAACUACGUGCCAGCAGCCGCGGUAAUACGUAGGGGGCGAGCGUUAGCCGGAUUCCUUGGGCGUAAAGCGAGCGUAGGCGGGCUGUUAGGUCGGGGGUCAAAUACCGGGGCUCAACCCCGCUCCGCCCCCGAUACCGGCCUGCUUGAGUCUGGCAGGGGAAGGCGGAAUGCCUAGUGUAGCGGUGGAAUGCGUAGAUAUUGGGAAGAACACCGGCGGCGAAGGCGGCCUUCUGGGCCACGACUGACGCUGAGGCGCGAAAGCUAGGGGAGCGAACAGGAUUAGAUACCCGGGUAGUC